rnacentral:rRNA from 1 species
GACAGAGGCCUCGAGCGUUAGGCGGAAUCACUGGGCUUAAAGCGUGUGUAGGCGGGCCCGUAAGUGUCUUGUGAAAUCCCACGGCUCAACCGUGGAACUGCUGGGCAUACUGCGGGUCUUGGGCCAACUAGGGGCAGCCGGAACAAGCGGUGGAGCGGUGAAAUGCGUAGAUAUCGCUUGGAACGCCGAAGGUGAAAACAGGCUGCUGGGGUUGCGCCGACGCUGAGACACGAAAGCUAGGGUAGCAAACGGG